UACGGGGGGGGCAAGCGUUGUUCGGAAUUACUGGGCGUAAAGGGCUCGUAGGCGGCCAACUAAGUCAGACGUGAAAUCCCCCGGCUUAACCUGGGAACUGCGUCUGAUACUGGAAGGCUUGAGUGCGGGAGAGGGAUGUGGAAUUCCAGGUGUAGCGGUGAAAUGCGUAGAUAUCUGGAGGAACACCGGUGGCGAAGGCGGCAUCCUGGACCGACACUGACGCUGAGGCGCGAAAGCUAGGGUAGCAAACGGG
rnacentral:rRNA from 1 species